UUACGGCCACAUCACAAUGAAACCCCGGUUCUCCUCCGAUCACCGAAGUUAAGCAACUUUGAACCUGGUCAGUACCUAGAUGGGUGACUGCAGGGGAAUACCAAGUGCUGUAA